rnacentral:piRNA from 1 species
UCCGCUGCUUGUGAAUUAUGUGAUGCUCUC